rnacentral:lncRNA from 1 species
AGGAGUCAUGGCUUUUGUCUCUACUGCUCGGAAUGGGCACCGGCGCUUGUGGGGAGGCCUUCGUUUGGACAUUGAAGGAAUGUGUGUGUGAGUCGUCGUUACUAGUGUUGAGCAGGUCAGUGACGGUCAGCGGGGUCCACUGUUGAAACGGGUGGUGGAGGAGCGUCUAACCGUCUAACCUAACCGAGCGUCUGGGAGGCGAGGCGCCGGGAUUCCAUCGGAGUGUUCAUGGGCCUCUGUGCACUAAGCACCGUGGGAGACUGGGAUUCGAAGGCACAGGAGUGUCCCUGCUUUGAACUUUGACAGAAUUGGCACGUAGAGCUGGAGACGGAUCGUGCAGUCGGAGGUGACCCGCUUCCUACUGGGGAUGUUACAGGAAUUCAGAGGAGGAAGGGCCCUGUCAGGCUGGGUCCAGCGGGGGACUGAGAGCUAACAGGAGAGCAGGCGAGUUGAGGAGAGGCCGAACGUGACCCACAUGCAGUGAGCAAGAAGAUCAAAGCAGCCUAACCCCUGGAGAUUCUGAUUUGAUGGAUUCUGAUAGGCUCCAGGAAUCUGUAUGGAAUCCCGGAGGACCGUGAUGGCAGCCAUGCCACCUUUCCUAGAUGGGGAGUCACUGAGCCCGAUGAUGUCGAGUGCCCUGGGCGGGCAUCGGAAGACGGUGUGGAGCGGUGACAGGUGGCUGUCCCCAGUGACCCUGUGUGACGCAUCAGGGAAAAAAUGCACAGAAGACUAGAAGACAGAGGUUGGGAAGGUUCUGGAAUCCUGACUAAUUUUGCUUCCUUUUCUCUAUUUUCCAAUUUUUGUAUAAUAUGCUUAUUACUUUGUCGUUUAAAAAAGUUUUUUAGUUCCUUCACUGAAACCUUUAAAGAGUAGGGGCUUCCUUCUUGCUUCCAGAAAGGAAGCACGUACACGCAGGGAGGGCAAUCUCUACAGGACAGAAGUAGGAAAAGUGCAUCGUUCCAGACUUCAGGGCAUGCAGGGGGUCCUUAGAACACCCCGGGACUUGACCCCUGCGGGGUGCAUUAGCCUGCAUUCCUUCUGUUUCGAGCAUUUCUGUCUGUGAUGGCAUAUUUACUAGUGGGAUUAUCUGAUUGUAGCAGGUCCUCUGCUGUGCACCUCGGGGGUCAAUGUUGUGCCCCCAGCACCCGGCAUACGGUACGCAAAUCUUUGUUAGGAAUAAAUGAAUGAGAGAAGAGAAUCA